GGAAAUCAUUCAAUUUUUCACCAGAGAAUAAGUUGUGGCAGUGCUGGGCAGUUCAAAGGAGGCCUGGACUCAUCUCAGGCUUAUAGCAUGUUGUAUUAGGUAAUAAACCUGUAUCUGCAUAAGAGAUUACAGGGUUUAUGGGAUUGGUAUACCCACUCUGUAACCUGUCCCUCCUGGCCUCUCUCAAACAUGCUGAGCAUGUUCAUAUCUUAGGCCUAUACACCUGCUGUUCCUUUUGCUACUUAUGCUGUUUCUCCAGAUAUCCAGGCGACUUCCCCCCUUACUACUUUAGGUCUUCCCUGAACUGCCACCUCAUUGAUGCUAUUUCUGUUCCCCUGUGUCAAAUUGCUAUAUUCUAAAUUGACAGCUCUUUCGCUCCCUUAUCGCUGCUUCACU
rnacentral:lncRNA from 1 species